CUUUCUCUUGAUGCGAGCUUAUAAAAAGGGCUUGUUCCCUCAGUCUCUUUGUGAACAUUUUUCUCGACAGUACUAAGAUUAAGGUUCUCAUCUCACUCAUGUCAUUGUUUGGUCUUCGAGUGUUUGAAGGUUUGGAACAAGAUUUGCAUGGUGAUUGAGCAAUGAAUAGAAGUCGAUGAAGCUGUAAUGCAAAGCAUGACUCCGACAAAAUAAACUGAUGUGAAAGAAUAUUGUCAAUGAAAGAUUUAAUGGCACUUCAUUUGCUUGGUGGGGGAGAUUGAAGGACGCAAAUUACUUUUUUUUUUCUUUGUUAAUUAUUUUCUAAUUGUAAUUUUUGAUUUAUGUAUUAUAAAUGUAUAAAUGUAAGUCAGUAGUCAUUUUAUAAGUUAUUGCUAUUGUUUCAUUAUUACUUUCAAUGUAUUAAAUUCCUUGUGUAA